GAUGAACGCUAGCUACAGGCUUAACACAUGCAAGUCGAGGGACCGGCGUACGGGUGAGUUACGCGUAUCAAACCUUCCCAUUACUGUGGGAUAACCUGCCGAAAGGCAGACUAAUACCGCAUAGUAAUGGAAGGGGAUGCGUCUGAUUAGCUUGUUGGCGGGGUAACGGCCCACCAAGGCGACGAUCAGUAGGGGUUCUGAGAGCAAGUUGCCCCACAUUGGAACUGAGACACGGUCCAAAGUCAGACGGGAGGAAGGAGUGAGGAAGAGUGGUAAAUGGACGGUAGUCUGAACCAGCCAAGUAGCGUGCAGGAUGACGGCCUAUGGGUGGUAAACUGCUGUUGUAUGGGGAUAGGUACCAUAGGAAUAAGGACCGGCUAAUUCCGUGCCAGCAGCCGCGGUAAUAC
rnacentral:rRNA from 1 species